rnacentral:lncRNA from 1 species
UUCAUUUUAACCCCAUAUAAAACCCUAAUAUUUCCCAAACCCUAAACCUAAAUCCCAACCUAAAUCGGCACCCCCCUCCCCAGCCUCUGCCCGCGUCCCUUGCCACUCUAACUCACCGGAAAACUCAACAAAUUGGCCGAGUUAACUCACAUGGUCCCCUCAUGGUCCCCCCUCAUCAUUAGGAUUUGAUUCUAAGCAUUUCUUCCUAUUUUUCAUUUUUCGGAUUUCUCUUUUAGGCGAAAAUAGGAAAAUGAGAUGCGUAGGAUUGAGUUGCACUCGAUCUACUCCCUCCAUUUCUCUUAUCUCACCAAUAGAAGAGAUUUUUCGAUUUUGGUUUUGAUUAUCUGAGAAUUUCGUGGAGAUUUUCGAUUUCUUGGAAAGGAAGGAAGGAGAAGCUUCUAGGCUCCCUAUAAAUGAGAGAAUUUUUGGAUAGAAAGGGAGGGGGAGAGGAAUUUCAAAAAGAAAGAAAAAAAGGUUCGAGGAUUCUUCCAAUUUUUCCAUUUUGGUUAAGAGAGUCAAACAAAUAGUUGAAACCUUUUGGUUAGAGUUCUGUUUUUUUUUUUCAUUUCAAAAAUCUGAAAACAAAAAAAAAUAUUUAGUUUAGUUGUUCUUUUAUUUUCGGUUUUCUUCCUCCAAUUUUGGAUUCCACACUGUUCGAUUUUGUUGUUUCGACAUGGAGAUUGAUUGAGCCGAAGUCGAGUUUACCAUUCGAGUCUUGGUUGCUGGUUCGAUUCCUGUUCAUCUGCUGAUGUUAUUUCAAGUAUCCAUUGUCGGAUUUAUUUGUACUCGCCUCCAAACAAACUUAAUUGAAGAAUUUCGCAUUCUCAGGUUCAUCUCCUCUCUCAUUAUAUUUGUGUACUGUGUUUGUGGUGAAUUAAGCAUGGGAAGAGCCAUUCUAAGAUGGGGAUUUAAGUCACACAUGAUAUAGAGUCGCUUCCAUGUUUCUAUGUUCUUAGAUGCUGAAAUUAAUGUUGAUUAGGCUCGUCAGAUUCAUUCUUGAAUAGUUCACAAAGUGUUGAGAUUUAAUUAAAUUGGUUUAGCGUAAUAAUGCUCGCGUUCUUGAUCUUUUUGUUCGGAUCUCUGUUUUGUGUGAAUCUGCAGCAAGUUGCUAAAAUGCCUAAACAAUGAUAUUGAUCUUCGAAUUUUUGUUAUAGCAUGGACUAUGUGUGGAAUUUUACCUCUAUCAACUGAGAUAUUUCUAUAUGUGCCAAAACAAUGAUUUCACUUCUUUUAAAUCAUUUGCUUAGUUGAAAUCUCCAUGACGUGGUUCGGAUUCAUGAAUGAAUUAACUGUGUGAAGCAUAAUUCACGUUCAUUGAUUUGAAGUUAACUGUCAUAGCGUUUGCUUUCAUGGUGGAACGGUAGUUCUUCAUAGUGUUUCCUCAUGUUAAGUAAAUAAAGUGAUAUGAAACUGAGAUUUACCAGAUGUUGCUUAAUUCCAUAUGCCAUAAUUAAGUUGCUUCUAGUUGAAAUGGAAACAUCAUCAAUGAUAUGGGAUUAAGAGAGCCUACUGGUUGUGCUAUUUGCUUCAUGCUCUGAAUGUCAUUACCUUCUUUGGUGUUUCACGUUGCAUAUAUGUCUGUUUCUAAUAGAGAUUUGUGAUGACUUCUGUCACACCUCCUUUUUACCUGCGCCCGCAGGGUGUAAAGUAUAAGGGAGUUUUUUUCAAAUAAAGGACAAUCGAAACGGGAUUUGUUAUGAAAGAUUUAGAGUCGCCACUUGGGAGAUUUAUGGCGUCCCAAGUCACCGGUUGAAUCCCAAAUCGAGGAAAAGAAUAAAUCUGUUUAACAGUCCGCGAACCAGAAAUCCGAGUAAGGAAUUUUGUUAACCUGGAAGAAGGUGUUAGGCAUUCCCGAGUUCCGUGGUUCUAUCACGGUCGCUCAAUUGUUAUAUUCGUCUUAAUUAUCUAGUUUUUAUACAUGUUUUAACCUAUGUGCAUUAUAACUUUUAAACGCUUUUAUUAUUAUUUUUAAAGAGAAUUGCAGCGUCGUUAAAACACGUCUCGAACCACG